AUUGAACGCUGGCGGCAGGCUUAACACAUGCAAGUCGAACGAGUGGCGGACGGGUGAGUAAUGUCUGGGAAACUGCCCGCUGGAGGGGGAUAACUACUGGAAACGGUAGCUAAUACCGCAUACCAUCGGAUGUGCCCAGGUGGGAUUAGCUAGUUGGUGGGGUAAAGGCUCACCUAGGCGACGAUCCCUAGCUGGUCUGAGAGGAUGACCAGCCAAACUGGAACUGAGACACGGUCCAGACUCCUACGGGAGGCAGCAGUGGGGAAUAUUGCACAAUGGGCGCAAGCCUGAUGCAGCCAUGCCGCGUGUAUGAAGAAGGCCUUCGGAUUGUAAAGCACUUUAAGUUGGGAGGCGUUACCAACAGAAUAAGCACCGGCUAACUUCGUGCCAGCAGCCGCGGUAAUUC
rnacentral:rRNA from 1 species